ensembl:snRNA U4 U4 spliceosomal RNA
AGCUUUGUGCAGUGGCAGUAUCGUAGCCUAUGAGGUCUAUCCGAGGCAUGAUUAUUCUUAAUCAAGGCUGCCCUAGAGCCCAAGACAGGAUAUCUAGGAGGGGA